UGACACCGUGGCUGCUGCUGCGGCCGCUGGACUAGGGUGGCAGUGCCAGCAUCAUGGGGGGUCUCAACUGCGCACCGUGGCUGUGUGCUGAGGCCUGCCUGAACUCCAGCGGCCUUGCGAUGCCACUCCCCUCCCUAGGCCGCGUCGUCAUGCAUCGACCCGGCACUGAAAGGAGAACGGCAAGAUCUCGGAAAUUCGGCAUGGACAACUUGGAAAGACGCACCAGCACUGUCACACUGCAGCCUCCCCCCUAACGCCUGGAAGCCCAGACAGCAUGGCCGGCAUGGUCUCGCCUCCCCCAUGAGGCGCACUGGAUGUGCAACUUCUCCCGGCCUCAGACCAGCCCAGGAAUCACAGAGGGACAACAGGGAACAAGCACAUGCUCGGACCCAUGUGCAAAACCACCCAGGAUCAUGCCAUGAAGCUAGGGAGUGCGUUGCCAGCAUUGGAAAGGAGGAGAAAACCUACGUCUUAUUUCCAUCUGCAUCCAUUCGCUCCUCUUUUUCUUCAUUUCAUUAGCUUUGCACAAACUAAAUCUAAU